rnacentral:tRNA from 1 species
GCCCCCAUCGUCUAGCGGUCUAGGACAUCGCCCUUUCACGGCGGAAACACGGGUUCGAGUCCCGUUGGGGGUACCA